AUGAACGCUGGCGGCGUGCCUAAUACAUGCAAGUCGAGCGAACGGACGAGAAGCUUGCUUCUCUGAUGUUAGCGGCGGACGGGUGAGUAACACGUGGAUAACCUACCUAUAAGACUGGGAUAACUUCGGGAAACCGGAGCUAAUACCGGAUAAUAUUUUGAACCGCAUGGUUCAAAAGUGAAAGACGGUCUUGCUGUCACUUAUAGAUGGAUCCGCGCUGCAUUAGCUAGUUGGUAAGGUAACGGCUUACCAAGGCAACGAUGCAUAGCCGACCUGAGAGGGUGAUCGGCCACACUGGAACUGAGACACGGUCCAGACUCCUACGGGAGGCAGCAGUAGUGAAUCUUCCGCAAUGGGCGAAAGCCUGACGGAGCAACGCCGCGUGAGUGAUGAAGGUCUUCGGAUCGUAAAACUCUGUUAUUAGGGAAGAACAUAUGUGUAAGUAACUGUGCACAUCUUGACGGUACCUAAUCAGAAAGCCACGGCUAACUACGUG
rnacentral:rRNA from 1 species